UCCGGUUGAUCCUGCCGGACCCCACUGCUAUCGGGAUGGGACUAAGACAUGCUAGUCGUGCGCCUCCAAGCCACGGUGGAGGCGCGGCGCACAGCUCAGUAACACGUGGCUAACCUACCCUUGGGACGGAAAUAACCCCGGGAAACUGGGGCUAAUUUCCGAUAGGUGAAGACUCCUGGAAUGGGUCUUCGCCCAAAGGGCGUUUAGACCAUGCUUCUAAGCGCCGCCCAAGGAUGGGGCCGCGGCCGAUCAGGUUGUUGGUGAGGUAACGGCUCACCAAGCCUAUAACCGGUACGGGCCGUGGGAGCGGGAGCCCGGAGAUGGGCACUGAGACAAGGGCCCAGGCCCUACGGGGCGCAGCAGUCGCGAAAACUCCGCAAUACACGAAAGUGUGACGGGGCCAUCCCGAGUGCCAUCCGCUGAGGAUGGCUUUUCCCCAGUGUAGACAGCUGGGGGAAUAAGGAGAGGGCAAGUCGGGUGUCAGCCGCCGCGGUAAUACCCGCUCUCCGGGUGGUGGGGACGCUUAUUGGGCCUAAAGCAUCCGUAGCCGGUUGGAUAAGUCCCCUGUUAAAUCCAGCGAUUCAAUCGCUGGACUGCGGGGGAUACUGUCCAGCUAGGGGGUGGGAGAGGCCGACGGUAUUCCCGGGGUAGGGGUGAAAUCUUAUAAUCCCGGGAGGACCACCAGUGGCGAAGGCUGUCGGCUAGAACGCGCCCGACGGUGAGGGGUGAAAGCUGGGGGAGCGAACCGGAUUAGAUACCCGGGUAGUCCCAGCUGUAAACGAUGCAGGCUAGGUGUUAACGCGGCUACCUGCCGCGUUUAGUGCCCGCAGGGAAGCCGUUUAAG
rnacentral:rRNA from 1 species